GAGAUCCAUUGAGAUCCAUAGAAACCCAUAGAGAUCCAUGGAGACCCAUAGAAGCGCCAGCCCCAUAGAGACCCCAUAGAGACCCCAUAGAAUCCCCAUAGAGAUCCCAUAGCCACCCCAUAACCACCCUGCAACCGCCCCAUAGCCGCCCCAUAGAGAACCUACACUGACCCCAUAAAAACCCCAUAGGGAUGCAUUGAGUUCCAUUGAGUUCCAUUGAGAUCCAUAGAAACCCAUAGAGAUCCAUGGAGACCCAUAGAAGCGCCAGCCCCAUAGAGACCCCAUAGAGACCCCAUAGAAUCCCCAUAGAGAUCCCAUAGAGACCCCAUAACCACCCUGCAACCGCCCCAUAGCCGCCCCAUAGAGAACCUACACUGACCCCAUAAAAACCCCAUAGGGAUGCAUUGAACCCCAUUGAGAUCCAUUGAGUUCCAUUGAGUUCCAUUGAGAUCCAUAGAAACCCAUAGAGAUCCAUGGAGACCCAUAGAAGCGCCAGCCCCAUAGAGACCCCAUAGAGACCCCAUAGAGAUCCCAUAGAGAUCCCAUAGAGACCCCAUAGAGGCCCCAUAGAAUCCCCAUAGAGAUCCCAUAGUAACCCCAUAGCCGCCCCAUAGAGACCCCAUAGAGACCCCAUAGAGAUCCCAUAGAGCCCCAUAGAGACCCCAUAGAGACCCCAUAGAGACCCCAUAGAGAUCCCGUAGCCACCCUAUAUCCGCCCCAUAGAGAACCCAUACUGACCCC